GGCGGGGUAGCUCAGUCGGUUAGAGCGCAGGACUCAUAAGCCUGAGGUCAGUGGUUCGAUCCCACUUCCCGCUACCA
rnacentral:tRNA from 4 species